UCAAAUCUUGGAAUACUAGGAACCUGCCUGAAAACAUGUGGCUGGACCUCAUCAAGUCAUCCUGAUUCGGAAGAGCUGAUCCAGCCGUCCUCAUUGUAACAAUCACUGAAUGAUCAUAAUUCAUGGCUAUCGUAAAAGGUUUCCGUAUUGAUUAAGCUCUUUCCAAGUUCUACGUUAGGAAAAAACCUGACGUUUGCUGCCAGCAAAAAAAGAAAUACAAAAUUGUGGGAAAACUGCUAGCUAUUUUGAUUCUGACAUACAAGCAUCUCUGAUUAAAAAUAGGUAUUUUGGUGUCUGUUUAGGGAUUGUAAUCAAACAUAAUCGACAGUCUUUAUACAAUAACUUCUGAAAUAAAAUCUAUUGGCAUGAA